ACGGCCGCAAGGUUAAAACUCAAAUGAAUUGACGGGGGCCCGCACAAGCGGUGGAGCAUGUGGUUUAAUUCGAUGCAACGCGAAGAACCUUACCUGGUCUUGACAUCCACGGAAGUUUUCAGAGAUGAGAAUGUGCCUUCGGGAACCGUGAGACAGGUGCUGCAUGGCUGUCGUCAGCUCGUGUUGUGAAAUGUUGGGUUAAGUCCCGCAACGAGCGCAACCCUUAUCCUUUGUUGCCAGCGGUCCGGCCGGGAACUCAAAGGAGACUGCCAGUGAUAAACUGGAGGAAGGUGGGGAUGACGUCAAGUCAUCAUGGCCCUUACGACCAGGGCUACACACGUGCUACAAUGGCGCAUACAAAGAGAAGCGACCUCGCGAGAGCAAGCGGACCUCAUAAAGUGCGUCGUAGUCCGGAUUGGAGUCUGCAACUCGACUCCAUGAAGUCGGAAUCGCUAGUAAUCGUGGAUCAGAAUGCCACGGUGAAUACGUUCCCGGGCCUUGUACACACC
rnacentral:rRNA from 3 species